rnacentral:rRNA from 1 species
AUUGAACGCUGGCGGCAGGCCUAACACAUGCAAGUCGAGCGGUAGAGAGGUGCUUGCACCUCUUGAGAGCGGCGGACGGGUGAGUAAUGCCUAGGAAUCUGCCUAGUGGUGGGGGAUAACGUUCGGAAACGGACGCUAAUACCGCAUAAGUCCUACGGGAGAAAGCGGGGGAUCUUCGGACCUCGCGCCAGUAGAUGAGCCUAGGUCGGAUUAGAUAGGUGGUGAGGUAAUGGCUCACCAAGGCGACGAUCCGUAACUGGUCUGAGAGGAGGAUCAGUCACACUGGAACUGAGACACGGUCCAGACUCCUACGGGAGGCAGCAGUGGGGAAUAUUGGACAAUGGGCGAAAGCCUGAUCCAGCCAUGCCGCGUGUGUGAAGAAGGUCUUCGGAUUGUAAAGCACUUUAAGUUGGGAGGAAGGGUAGUAACCUAAUACGUUGCUACUUUGACGUUACCGACAGAAUAAGCACCGGCUAACUCCGUGCCAGCCGCCGCAGUAAAAC